rnacentral:rRNA from 1 species
AUACAGAGAGUGCAAACGUUGUUCGGAAUUACUGGGCUUAAAGCGCACGUAGGCGGCAUUGAAAGUGUGAGGUGAAAGCCCACGGCUCACCCGUGGAACGGCCUUGCAAACUUCAAUGCUAGAGUGUGGUAGGGGAGAGCGGAACUCCUGGUGGAGCGGUGAAAUGCGUAGAUAUCAGGAGGAACACCGGUGGCGAAGGCGGCUCUCUGGUCCAUAACUGACGCUGAGGCGCGAAAGCUAGGGGAGCAAACGGGAUUAGAUACCCCGGUAGUCC